UACGAAGGGGGGCUAGCGUUGUUCGGAAUCACUGGGCGUAAAGCGCACGCAGGCGGAUUGAUAAGUCAGGGGUGAAAUCCCGGGGCUCAACCUCGGAAUUGCCUUUGAUACUGUCUGUCUUGAGUUCGGGAGAGGUUGGCGGAAUUCCUAGUGUAGAGGUGAAAUUCGUAGAUAUUAGGAAGAACACCAGUGGCGAAGGCGGCCAACUGGCC
rnacentral:rRNA from 1 species